rnacentral:rRNA from 1 species
AUCAACUUUCGAUGGUAGGAUAGAGGCCUACCAUGGUGGUAACGGGUAACGGGGUGUUAGGGCACGACACCGGAGAGGGAGCCUGAGAAACGGCUACCACAUCCAAGGAUGGCAGCAGGCGCGCAAAUUACCCAAUCCCGACACGGGGAGGUAGUGACAAUAAAUAACAAUACGGGGUUCUUUCGGAUUUCGUAAUUGGAAUGAGUACAAUUUAAAUCUCUUAACGAGGAACAAUUGGAGGGCAAGUCUGGUGCCAGCAGCCGCGGUAAUUCCAGCUCCAAUAGCGUAUAUUAAAGUUGCUGCAGUUAAAAAGCUCGUAGUUGAAUUUCGGGACCAUCAUGUCGGUCGUGCCUAGGUACGUACUGGCAUUGUUGGUUUCUCCCUUCUGACGAACCACGAUGUCAUUUAUUUGGUGUUGUGGGGAAUCAGGACUGUUACUUUGAAAAAAUUAGAGUGUUUAAAGCAGGCUCACGCUUGAAUACAUUAGCAUGGAAUAAUGAAAUAGGACGUUUGAUUCUAUUUUGUUGGUUUCUAGGAUCGACGUAAUGAUUAAUAGGGAUAGUUGGGGGCAUUAGUAUUCAAUUGUCAGAGGUGAAAUUCUUGGAUUUAUUGAAGACUAACUACUGCGAAAGCAUUUGCCAAGGAUGUUUUCAUUAAUCAAGAACGAAAGUUAGGGGAUCGAAGACGAUCAGAUACCGUCGUAGUCUUAACCAUAAACUAUGCCGACUAGGGAUCGGAUGAUGUUAAUUUUUUAAUGACUCAUUCGGCGCCUUACGGGAAACCAAAGUGUUUGGGUUC